GGUAGCGUCGCGGCGUGCGAAAAUGCCUAAACCAGCACAAUCCCGCGCCCGUGUGCUAAAUUUACCUCGAUCUGUCAAAACAAUUCGGGAUUUAUUUAUAACCGAAUUGAUUUCGUGAAAUCCGCAUCGAAUUCCGCGUGCAGUUUUUGGAAAGUGCGCGCGCGCAACAAAUUGAAAGUCUAAUCAUAAUCCACCUUGUGUAAUACUCAACCAAAGCGCAAGAAUUUCGAAAAUAUUCAUAUGUGGACUUAAGUAAACUCAAGCAAAACCAGAAACUUGGUUAUGUUGUGCGUGUGCGCGUUAACUAAGUGUGUAAUAACAAAUUGAGUGCAUGUUUUUGGGAAUAAUUACACAAUUUCGAACGAAGACAAAGGAAUGUAAGUUAUUAGGAAAGAAAUUCGGUGAUUUUAUUCUUUUGUCGUCAAGACUUGGUUAAAAAUACAACUGAAGCUUUCUUGGUGGCUUGAAAGGCAAACGUCUUUUAACAGGCGUUUAACUCUCGAUGUUCACACGCUAAUUUCGUGGACGGCGACGAAACUCGGACGAGAUUUUUUUCGCUUCUUUCUUUUUUUUUUUGCUGCGGCGGUUGUGUGGCGUGUUGAAAGGACGUUCGCCGCGCGGUUAAUUUGCAUAAAAAACGUUUUUAAUCACAUUUCUCUGGCCCAAACGUAAAUUGUAUAUUAUUAAGUUAUUGUUGGGUUGCCAUCUUUGCAACAAUUGCUGAUUGUCGAGGUGGGACACUGGAUAUACUUGAGUUUUGAUUGUUGCAAAGUUUUGAGCUACUUUUUAUGUGAAUUAUGCUUAAAAUUAACGUUUCACGAACAAAAACUUUUGUGAAAUGCAUAAAACUGGUUGGAUUUAUGACAGAUGUCAAAAAUAUUUCAUUUGACAGCAUAAAAAUGGUUAAAUUUAAUAUUUUUACAAAAAAAUUGAUUAAUUUGAUCGAGUAAUGAGAGGUUAUGUAGAUGUCUGAAAGUAUAGCUAACCUCAAAUUUUCGAAAAAUUUGUUAUAACUCGGAAAGUAAUAAUGCUAGAGAAACGAUUUUUUUUUUAAUUGUAGAUCUUAAUGUGCUUUAUAAAGUGAGAUAUGAGCCGUUUAUUUUGAAAGUGACCUAACUCCGUUUUUUAAAUUUUUGCCGGUUACCAUGGUUACAUGUACAACUUCAUGUUAUUUAUCAGUGACGCAUUUCAGAUUGCUUAUAUUCAGAGAAAAUACGGUACAUUUUUUACACAUAAGUUUUCCGAAUUAAUUGAAUAACUGAGCCGUGCAGUUUGAAAGUGGCCUAACUCCAUUUAUAGUUACAUCAAGAUAUUUACUAUUGAUAAUGUCGGAAAGCAGCGAUGAAGAAAUUAUUGCACCUAUGAGGAAGAAGAGAAGAAGACCACUUAGUUCAAAUAGUGAAGAAGAAAUAGUAAUUAAUAAUUUAAAAAAAAGCGAAUAAGAAAAAGAAUUAUAGAACAAUAUUCCUCGUCAGAGGAUGAAGAUUCAAAUAACAAUGGAGAAAAGAGUGAUGCACCAUAUAUCUAAAAAGUGCGAAAGAUUAAACAGAAUUCAGGAAAAAGAUAUUGCAGUCAAACCGGAAGUAUUGUUCAAGAAAAAAAUUUCGAAAACAAAGAUUGUGGUUGUCGGAAUGCGUGCACAAAAAAUUAUAAUGAA